GAUGAACGCUGGCGGCGUGCCUAAUACAUGCAAGUCGAGCGAACAGACGAGGAGCUUGCUCCUCUGACGUUAGCGGCGGACGGGUGAGUAACACGUGGAUAACCUACCUAUAAGACUGGGAUAACUUCGGGAAACCGGAGCUAAUACCGGAUAAUAUAUUGAACCGCAUGGUUCAAUAGUGAAAGACGGUUUUGCUGUCACUUAUAGAUGGAUCCGCGCCGCAUUAGCUAGUUGGUAAGGUAACGGCUUACCAAGGCGACGAUGCGUAGCCGACCUGAGAGGGUGAUCGGCCACACUGGAACUGAGACACGGUCCAGACUCCUACGGAAGGCAGCAGUAGGGAAUCUUCCGAAAUGGGCGAAAGCCUGACGGAGCAACGCCGCGUGGGUGAUGAAGGUCUUCGGUUCGUAAAACUCUGUUAUUAGGGAAGAACAAAUGUGUAAGUAACGAUGCACGUCUUGACGGUACCGAAUCAGAAAGCCACGGCUAACUACGU
rnacentral:rRNA from 1 species